CGGGUUCUGCAGGCGUUUACCGCCGCUGUCACACCGCUAUCCCGGGUUGGGGCUAGUGUGGGUGUCUCUGCUGUCUGCUGCACUGCCUGCGCUGCCCUUCCUGCUGCUGCGGUGACAAGACAUCCAGCUCGCUCCUGGCUGGCAAUCGAUCGAUGGGUCAUCCUCCCUCUCCACUCGUUCCCCUCCCAUCGACCACCUACCAUCGCUGAUACUGUCCCUCCUCCACGCGGGCUUCUCUACCUCUCCUCUUUUCGCUCCUCUCCCUCCUCUCCUCUGUCCUCCUUCCCCCUUACUCGAUUCUCUUCGCUAUUGUCCCCCAAUUCCCUCCCCUUUUUAUCCACCUCCCACCCCCUUCCCCGCUUUCUCAAAAGGGGUUUGCUGGG
rnacentral:sRNA from 1 species